rfam:Ruminococcus flavefaciens 007c Rf007c_contig00752, whole genome shotgun sequence.
UAUAAUUUACAGGGGAGCUUGUGGGACAGGCUGAGAGGAAGGUUAAACCUUCGACCCUUCGACCUGAUUUGGUUAAUGCCAGCGUAGGGAGUCUGAUUUUGUUAUGU